GCGUCCUAUUAGCUAGUUGGUGAGGCAAUGGCUCACCAAGGCUACGAUGGGUAGGGAUUCUUAGUGGAAGAUCCCCCACACUGGCACUGAGAUACGGGCCAGACUCCUACGGGAGGCAGCAGUAGGGAAUAUUGGUCAAUGGGCGCAAGCCUGAACCAGCCAUGCCGCGUGCAGGAUGACAGCUCUCUGAGUUGUAAACUGCUUUUGUACAGGAGCAAAACAAUCCCUGCGGGGGUUCUUGAGAGUACUGUUAAGAAUAAGCACCGGCUAAUUCCGUGCCAGCAGCCGCGGUAAUACGGAAGGUGCAAGCGUUAUCCGGUUUUAUUGGGUUUAAAGGGUGCGUAGGCGGCUUAUUAAGUCAGUUGUGAAAUCCUAGUGCUUAACGCUAGAACUGCAAUUGAUACUAUU
rnacentral:rRNA from 1 species